rnacentral:rRNA from 1 species
UACGUAGGUGACCAGCGUUGUCCGGAUUUACUGGGCGUAAAGAGCGCGCAGGCGGUCGUCCAAGUCGCGUGUGAAAGCCCCCGGCUCAACUGGGGAGGGUCACGCGAUACUGGUCGACUCGAAGGCAGGAGAGGGUAGUGGAAUUCCCGGUGUAGUGGUGAAAUGCGUAGAUAUCGGGAGGAACACCAGUGGCGAAGGCGACUUCCUGGCCUGUUCUUGACGCUGAGGCGCGAAAGCUAGGGUAGCAAACGGG